UCCGAAUUUAGCCAUGCUAGUCGCACGAGUUCAKACUCGUGGCCGAAUAGCUCAGUAACACGUGKCCAAACUACCCUUUCGGAACACAAUACCCUCGGGAAACUGAGGCUAAUAGUGUAUACCAUACCACCACUGGAAUGAGUGGUAUGCCAAACGCUCCGGCGCCGAAGGAUGUGGCUGCGGCCGAUUAGGUAGACGGUGGGGUAACGGCCCACCGUGCCAAUAAUCGGUACGGGUCAUGAGAGUGAGAACCCGGAGACGGAAUCUGAGACAAGAUUCCGGGCCCUACGGGGCGCAGCAGGCGCGAAACCUUUACACUGCACGACAGUGCGAUAGGGGGAUCCCAAGUGCACAGGCAUAGCGCCUGUGCUUUUCGGCACCCUAAGGCGGUGYCAGAAUAAGGGCUGGGCAAGACCGGUGCCAGCCGCCGCGGUAAUACCGGCAGCCCAAGUGAUGGCCGAUCUUAUUGGGCCUAAAGCGUCCGUAGCUGGCCGCGCAAGUCCAUCGGGAAAUCCACCUGCUCAACAGGUGGGCGCCCGGUAGAAACUGCGUGGCUUGGGACCGGAAGGCGCGACGGGUACGUCCGGGGUAGGAGUGAAAUCCCGUAAUCCUGGACGGACCGCCGAUGGCGAAAGCACGUCGCGAGAACGGAUCCGACAGUGAGGGACGAAAGCCAGGGUCUCGAACCGGAUUAGAUACCCGGGUAGUCCUGGCCGUAAACAAUGYCUGCUAGGUGUGGCUCCCACUACGAGUGGGUGCUGUGCCGUAGGGAAGCCGCUAAGCAGRCCGCCUGGGAAGUACGUCCGCAAGGAUGAAACUUAAAGGAAUUGGCGGGGGAGCACUACAACCGGAGGAGCCUGCGGUUUAAUUGGAUCCAAACGCCCGGAAAAA
rnacentral:rRNA from 1 species